rnacentral:rRNA from 1 species
UACGUAGGGUGCGAGCGUUAAUCGGAAUUACUGGGCGUAAAGCGUGCGCAGGCGGUUCGUUGUGUCCGAUGUGAAAGCCCCGGGCUUAACCUGGGAAUGGCAUUGGAAACUGGCGGGCUUGAGUGUGGCAGAGGGGGGUGGAAUUCCGCGUGUAGCAGUGAAAUGCGUAGAGAUGCGGAGGAACACCGAUGGCGAAGGCAGCCCCCUGGGCUAACACUGACGCUCAGGCACGAAAGCGUGGGGAGCAAACAGG